GGAGCCACCAGUGGGGAUUUUUGGACAAUGGGCGCAAGCCUGAUCCAGCCAUGCCGCGUGUCUGAAGAAGUCCUUCGGUUUGUAAAGGACUUUUGUCAGGGAAGAAAAGGCUGUUGCUAAUAUCGACACCUGAUGACGGUACCUGAAGAAUAAGCACCGGCUAACUACGUGCCAGCAGCCGCGGUAAUACGUAGGGUGCGAGCGUUAAUCGGAAUUACUGGGCGUAAAGCGAGCGCAGACGGUUACUUAAGCAGGAUGUGAAAUCCCUCGGGCUCAACCUGGGAACUGCGUUCUGAACUGGGUGACUAGAGUGUGUCAGAGGGAGGUAGAAUUCCACGUGUAGCAGUGAAAUGCGUAGAGAUGUGGAGGAAUACCGAUGGCGAAGGCAGCCUCCUGGGAUAACACUGACGUUCAUGCUCGAAAGCGUGGGUAGCAACCAGGAUUAGAUACCCUGGUAGUCCACGCCCUAAACGAUGUCAAUUAGCAGUUGGGCAACUUGAUUGCUUAGUAGCGUAGCUAACGCGAGAAAUUGACCGCCUGGGGAGUACGGUCGCAAGAUUAAAACUCAAAGGAAUUGACGGGGACCCGCACAAGCGGUGGAUGAUGUGGAUUAAUUUGAUGCAACGCGAAGAACCUUACCUGGUCCUGACAUGUACGGAAUCCUCCAGAGACGGAGGAGUGCCUUCGGGAGCCGUAACACAGGUGCUGCAUGGCUGUCGUCAGCUCGGGUCGUGAGAUGAUGGGCUAAGUCCCGCAACGAGCGCAACCCUCGUCAUUAGUUGCCAUCAUUAAGGAGGGCACUCUAAUGAGACUGCCGGUGACAAGCCGGAGGAAGGUGGGGAUGACGUCAAGUCCUCAUGGCCCCUAAGACCAGGGCUUCACACGUCAUACAAUGGUCGGUACAGAGGGUAGCCAAGCCGCGGGGUGGAGCCAAUCUCACAAAACCGAUCGUAGUCCGGAUUGCACUCUGCAACUCGAGUGCACGAAGUCGGAAUCGCUAGUAAUCGCAGGUCAGCAUACUGCGGUGAAUAAGUUCCCGGGUCGUGCACUCACCGCCCGUCAA
rnacentral:rRNA from 1 species